AGUUCUUAAAAAGCUUUUUAUUUACUCUAACUUUUCUAAGUGGUUGUCUAAAUAAAGAUAGCCUUAUGUGUGGCUUGGUAAUUUUUGUGGUUAACAUAUACCAUGAAAAAAAUUAUUGUAGAUAUUUAAUUCCUUAGGUAUAUAUGCUCAGCUGUGUUCAAGCAUGAAUCGUUUAGUAUAAUGUAUAAUUAACAGUAAAUCCUAAAGAAAUACGACUACGGUUAAAGACAGUAUCUGCUUUUGAAACUGACAUUAUCGGAGUUUAUUUUAUUUACUUAUUCACUUGUUUUCCCACCUCAUUACAGAAAAGAUUUCAAAUGACAAGUUAAUUCUACUAUAAUGGGAGUAAUAUUUAUUUAUUCAUCAAAAAAAAUUACUAUGUGCCAAGUACUGUGCCAAACGCUGCUUAUACAGAAAUCAAAAACAUGUUCCUUUCUUCAGGAAGUAUGGGAUUUAGAGGAAAAGUCAGACAAGUUAACCAGCAAGUACAAUCAAUAUAAGGAAAUUAGUGCUUAGAGGCAUUAGGUAACUUAUCCAAGGUCACACAGAAGUGGUAGAAUCAGGAUGUGAACGCAGAGGAUAAACUUACUAAAACACGUCCUUUCAAGAACAUGUCCGGAGAGAUAGAAGCAUAUCAAGCUGCUGGAUGGAUGUACAGGACAACGUAAGACCAUGUCCCAGGUUAUAAACCAGCAUAUAAAAUUUAAGAGGGCAGCUGAGAAGAAGAGGAAACCUAAAUUAGAGAGAAGCCCAGAAUGGAAAAUAAAGAUUUUUACUUUCAGGAUAAAGGGCUCCAAACAGAAGAGGUGGGUUAUAAGAAUCUUGAAUAAGAAGAUCAUGGGUAUGCCCAAUCAUGUGACUCUUAAUACCAUAAUUAACAUAUUUUUAAAAAUGCAGAUAUAUAAUCUAGUGAGUUGAAAAGGUGGUAUCAACAUGGGAUUAUCAGUGGAACUGUUAAAGGAAAAAGAUCACUGAAAUUUUAGAUUUUGCAUGAGAAGAUAUUUUUUGAACUUCUUUUAUUUUAAUCUAUAAUUUAUCAGUAGAGGAAAAAGAAUGAAUAUCAUUUAUUUAAUGAACAAAUAUUUUUCUUUCCUAAAUUUCACACCAGUAUGAAGCUUCCCUCUUAAGUGUUUAAGUUUUUAAAAAUGUAAACUGAAGAUUUGAUUGUGCUACUAAGUAGGUACCAUUUUACCUGAUGGCUAGGACAUACAGUUGAGAGGGAGCCUGACACCUUUAGAAAAGUACAUAAGAUAUUUUAUAAUUGCUCAAAGAAUGUAGUGCCCAAUUUCUCAAAUAACUCAAAUAACUCAAAUUUAAAUAUAUUAUAUAUAAGGAAUUUAUUCUAUAUUUAAUUUUUCUGUAGACGCCUUCAAUUUUGCACCUUAGGCUUGAAUUUUUUCCGUGAAGGCAGGGUCUUUUUUUGUUUACUCUGUCCUCAAUAUCUGGAAUAGUCAGUACUUAGUAUAUAGUAGGUUUUCAGUAAGUAUUUGAUGAAUAAGUGAAUAUAUGCUUAUACAUAUGUCUUAAAUAGCAAUUUUGCUGAUUAGAUAAAAGUCAUUGUAGGAAUUUUUGAAACUACAAGGAAAAAGAAAAUAAAAAUUAUUUGUAUUUUGCCACUCCAAAUAGCGAUCCUUUAAGAAAUAUUUUUCUCUAGUCCCUUUUUUCCUACACAAAUAUAUUUACAACUCAAUUGACAUCAAACUUACAUAUAUAGUUUUGUAUCCUUUUUUCAUUUAACCCUUUCAAGUGGGCAUUUCCCCAAAUCAAUAAGUAUUUAUUGAAAACGUAAUGUUAAAAUGUGGAUAAGGGUCCUAGGGUUGUUUUUCCCAAAAUCUGCACUUGUUAUUAGGUGCCGUAAAGUUGCUUCCUACUCAUAGCAACUCUGUACAAUAGAAGGAAACACUGCGAUAUCCUCACAACCAUUAUUAUGCUUGAGCCCAUUGUUGCAGCCACUGUGUCAAUCUAUCUUGUUGAGGGUCUUCCUCUUUUUUGCUGGCCCUCUACCAAGCAUGAUGUCCUUCUCCAGGGACUGGUCCCUCCUGAUAACAUGUCCAAAAUAUGUGAGAAGUUUCUCGUCCUUACUUCUAAGGAGCACUCUGGCUGUACUUCUUCUAAGACAGAUUUGAUUGCUUUUCUGGCAGUCCAUGGUAUAUUCAAUAUUCUUUGCUAGCACCAUAAUUCAAAGGCAUCAAUUCUUUGGUCCUCCUUGUUCAUUCUCCAGCUUUUGCAUGCAUAUGGGCGAUUGAAAAUACUAUGGCUUGGAUCAGGCAAACCUUAGUCCUCAUCUUUGCUUUUUAACACUUUAAAGAGGUGUUUUGCAGCAGAUUUGUCCAAUGCAGUAUGUCUUUUGAUUUCUCGAUUGCUGCUUCCAUGGGCAUUGAUUGUGGAUCCAAGUAAAAUGAAGUCCUUGACAACUUCAGUCUUUUCUCCAUUUAUCAUGAUGUUGCUUAUUGGUCCA